rnacentral:rRNA from 1 species
ACGGCUCAGUAACACGUGGAUAACCUACCCUUAGGAUCAGGAUAACCUCUGGGAAACUGGGGCUAAUACUGAAUAGAUAAUUUUUCCUGCAAUGGUAUUUUGUCUAAAUGUUUUUCGCCUAAGGAUGGGUCUGCGGCCGAUUAGGUAGUUGGUUAGGUAAUGGCUUACCAAGCCGUCAAUCGGUACGGGUUGUGAGAGCAAGAGCCCGGAGAUGGAACCUGAGACAAGGUUCCAGGCCCUACGGGGUGCAGCAGGCGCGAAACCUCCGCAAUGUGAGAAAUCACGACGGGGGAACCUCAAGUGCCAUUCUUAACUGGAUGGCUUUUCUUGAGUGUAAAAAGCUCUUGGUAAUAAGAGCUGGGUAAGACUGGUGCCAGCCGCCGCGGUAACACCAGCAGCUCUAGUGGUAGUCAGUUUUAUUGGGCCUAAAGCGUUCGUAGCUGGUUUUUUAAUAAGUCUCUGCUGAAAUCCUACAGUUAACUGUGGGGAUUGGUGGAGGUACUAUUAGACUUGAGGUCGGAAGAGGUUAGAGGUACUCCCAGGCUAGGGGUGAAAUCCUGUAAUUCUGGGAGGAUCACCUGUGGCGAAGGCGUCUAACUGGGACGAACCUGACAGUGAUGGACGAAAGCUAGGGGUGCGAACCGGAUUAGAUACCCGGGUAGUCCUAGCCGUAAACGAUGCGGACUUGGUGUUAGGAUGGCUUUGAGUCGUCUUAGUGCCGAAGGGAAGCUGUUAAGUCCGCCGCCUGGGAAUUACGGUCGCAAGACUGAAACUUAAAGGAAUUGGCGGGGGAG